rnacentral:rRNA from 1 species
GACGAACGCUGGCGGCGUGCCUAAUACAUGCAAGUAGAACGCACAGUUUAUACCGUAGCUUGCUACACCAUAGACUGUGAGUUGCGAACGGGUGAGUAACGCGUAGGUAACCUGCCUGGUAGCGGGGGAUAACUAUUGGAAACGAUAGCUAAUACCGCAUAAUAUUAAUUAUUGCAUGAUAAUUAAUUGAAAGGUGCAAUUGCACCACUACCAGAUGGACCUGCGUUGUAUUAGCUAGUAGGUGAGGUAACGGCUCACCUAGGCGACGAUACAUAGCCGAACUGAGAGGGUGAGCGGCCACACUGGGAGUGAGACACGGCCCAGACUCCUACGGGAGGCAGCAGUAGGGAAUCUUCGGCAAUGGACGAAAGUCUGACCGAGCAACGCCGCGUGAGUGAAGAAGGUUGUCGGACCGUAAAGCUCGGUUGUAAGAGAAGAACGGGUGUGAGAGUGGAAAGUUCACACUGUGACGGUAUCUUACCAGAAAGGGACGGCUAACUACGUG